UACGAAGGGGGCUAGCGUUGCUCGGAAUCACUGGGCGUAAAGCGCACGUAGGCGGAUUGCUAAGUCAGGGGUGAAAUCCUGGAGCUCAACUCCAGAACUGCCUUUGAUACUGGCAACCUUGAGUCCGGGAGAGGUGAGUGGAACUGCGAGUGUAGAGGUGAAAUUCGUAAAUAUUCGCAAGAACACCAGUGGCGAAGGCGGCUCACUGGCCCGGUACUGACGCUGAGGUGCGAAAGCGUGGGGAGCAAACAGG
rnacentral:rRNA from 1 species